CCUGUUUUACAAAAACAUGUCUUUUUGAGUUAUUUUUAAAGUCUGACCUGCCCACUGAAUAAAAUUAAAUGGCCGCAGUAUUUUAACUGUGCAAAGGUAGCAUAAUCAUUAGUCUUUUAAUUGAAGGCUGGUAUGAACGGUUGGACGAGGUAUAAGCUGUUUCAUAUGAAUUUAUAAUAGAAUUUUAUAUUUUAGUUAAAAAGCUAAAAUUUAAUUAAAAGACGAGAAGACCCUAUAAAUCUUUAUACUUUAAAUUAUUUAAGUUUUGUGGAUUAAUUUUAUUUUUAUAGUUUGAAGUAUUUUGUUGGGGUGAUGUUAAAAUUUAAUGAACUUUUAAUUAUUUAGAAUCAUUAAUUUAUGAGCUAUUGAUCCAUUAGUAGUGAUUAUAAGUUUAAGUUACUUUAGGGAUAACAGCGUAAUUUUUUUGGAGAGUUCUUAUCGAUAAAAAAGUUUGCGACCUCGAUGUUGGAUUAAGAUAUAUUUUUAGGUGUAGGCGCUUAAAC
rnacentral:rRNA from 1 species